UACGAAGGGAGCGAGCGUUGUUCGGAAUCACUGGGCUUAAAGCGUGCGUAGGCGGGUAGGGAAGUCAGAAGUGAAAUCCCUGGGCUUAACCCAGGAAUUGCUUUUGAAACUCCCUGUCUAGAAAUCGAGAGAGGUUAGCGGAAUAUCCAGUGUAGAGGUGAAAUUCGCAGAUAUUGGAUGGAACACCAGUGGCGAAGGCGGCUAACUGGCUCGGUAUUGACGCUGAGGCACGAAAGCGUGGGUAGCAAACAGG
rnacentral:rRNA from 1 species